GGAACCAUUAGCAACACAGUGGAUGA
rnacentral:piRNA from 1 species